rnacentral:rRNA from 1 species
GAUGAACGCUGGCGGCGUGCCUAAUACAUGCAAGUCGAGCGGACGAACCGAAAGCUUGCUUCUGAUUCGUUAGCGGCGGACGGGUGAGUAACACGUGGACAACCUACCUAUAAGACGGGGAUAACACCGGGAAAUCGGAGCUAAUACCGGAUAACACGAAGUGUCGCAUGACGCUUCGUUGAAAGACGGCGCAACCGGUCCCUACAGAUGGGGCCGCGCUGCAUUAGCUAGUUGGUGAGGUAACGGCUUACCAAGGCGACGAUGCGUAGCCGACCUGAGAGGGUGAUCGGCCACACUGGAACUGAGACACGGCCCAGACUCCUACGGGAGGCAGCAGUAGGGAAUCUUCCGCAAUGGACGAAAGCCUGACGGAGCAACGCCGCGUGAGUGAUGAAGGCCUUCGGGUCGUAAAGCUCUGUUGUUAGGGAAGAACAAGUAUCGCAGUAACUGGCGUUACCGUGACGGUACCUAAUGAGAAAGCCACGGCUAACUACGUG